AACCAGCUUCGCAACCUAGACUGGAGCAACAAUAAAGAUGUUUCAGAGUGGUAAGUUAUUUAAGUCUUUUAGUUUUAAUUCUGCACCGUCUCUAUCACAGUAACAACUUUAUGUCCAUUGACUGCCUGGAAGGUAUCUAACGUUUAUAUAUAUAUAUAUAUUUGUGUACUUGUGGAAAUUGCUCAAUAAUGCCCACUGAAGUUGAAAACAUCUGUUGCCAAGAAAUACAAAUGGUUGUUAGGCGAAUGCAACAGGUUCCUGUCCCACCUACCUGCAUGGUUUACCAUCCAGACCUAGAGCCAACCUGUUUGAACCACUACACCCUGCGGAACAUCUACACUAU